rnacentral:lncRNA from 10 species
CUGCGGGGGUGAGCACUGUGGGGCUGGGCACUGCGGGGUGGGGACCGCGGGGCUGGGAAAUGCGGGGCUGGGCACUGCAGGGGUGGGAAAUGCGGGGCUGGGCACUGCGGGGGUGGGAAAUGCGGGGCUGGGAAAUGCGGGGAUGGGCACUGCGGGGUGGACGCGGAGCCCAGCAGGCGGCUGGCGGCGGGGAUGGCGGCGGCGGGCUGGGAACCGCGGGGGGUCGCGGGACCCGCAGGUGACCGAUGGCGCGGGUGGGCGCGGCUGUCCCUUCACAACUGAGGCCUGGACGGACGCCGCCGGCGGCCACCUUCGCGCAGCUGACGUCCGUGUCCCGCUGGCCUUCGGCCAGGCCCUCCACCUCCCACACGUACCUCCAGCCGCCUGCCGCCGCCCACGGCCGGCCCGGACCCGGCCCGAUAGGUCUCGCCGAAGACGCCGCGGCCGCCCGCUGCCGGCUCCUCACUUCCGCCCGCCGCGAGCGCCGAGCGCGUCGAUCCGCCGGGCAGUCGAGCGCCGAGUCUUCGAUGGGCGGCGCCCGCAGGGGAGGCUGGGAGGAGGGGAGCAGGCCGGCGCGGGAGCGGGAGGUCAGCAGGGGCCGUGGGCGGUGGACGCCGGCGUGUCUUGGGUUCCGAGGGACCCAGCUGUCGGAAUGGACACGCGAAUACCUAAAAGAACAAAAGUUCUGCAAUGAAGAUUCCUUGUGAAACACUCGGGGUUAUAGUUUGAAGUGAACCAAACAGCCGGCUCAUUGUUUGAGAAACAGUUGUUUCACGGGUGAAUCGACUCCUCUUCGGCAGCCACUGGUUUGCUAAGGAUUUACUUUGAACAUUUCGAUG